AUGGGUGGUCCGAUUGUGUUGACCCAGCUGGCUACGGGUCUCGGCGUAUUGGCCGGGGCAGUCCUCGUCAAAUCGGUCAUGGACCAGAAGCCCAUGGCCGGCCCGUUUCCCAGGUGCCCCAGUUGCAAUGGCACGGGUCGGGUCUCCUGCUUCUGCUCGCGCUGGUCCGAUGGCGAUGUCGGGUGCCGGAGCUGUGCCGGGUCGGGUCGCACGUUCUGCAGAAGCUGUGGUGGUUCUGGUACUGGUCGACCCCUUCCGGUUCAAAUCUCCGUACGGCCUCCCACCCCUCCCUCGUAG
rnacentral:lncRNA from 1 species